rnacentral:lncRNA from 1 species
CCAGGUCCUGUGCAUUUUCUAAGCAUUUUCUAUGCAUUACCUCAUUUAAUUGUCACAACAACUGUUAUUACACUCAUGACUAAAGAUAAGAAAACUGAAGCACGGAGACAUUAAAUGAUUUGUCUUACUUCCCAUAAUUAGGUAAGAAUUUUGACACCAGGAAAUCUUUUUCCAGCACCCAGCCUGUUAUUCCGCCUUUCAUAUUCAUACGGCAGAUGUAAGUCCAAAACAGAAAGGCCUUGCCUAGGAAAGUGAAUGAUAAGCAAAUCUAAUUGAGAAAAAAACCAACCAGAGUCAGUGUCCAGUAAUGGCUCUGCAAUGCGCAGCCUCCGAAUGUGACGACCACAGGCUCUGCUUGCCUUUUACCUGACUGCCAGCACCCUGCAGAGCAGCAUCAAAGUUCUGGAGGCCAGAAAUUUGAAAUGAGUCUUAUGGAGCUGAAAUCAAGCACAAACCAAAGCUGGGCUUCAUCUGGAUGCUCUAUGAAAGAUUCCUUUGCUCGCCUCUUCCAAUUCCUGGUGGUUGCUGGCAUUCCUUGCAUUGUAGACUCGUCAUCCCAACGUCUUCCUCCUUGGCCCCAUUGCCUUCUCCUCUCCUGUGUGGGCAUCAUCAACUCUCCCUUUCCCUCCCUCUUAAAAGGAUAUGAAUGUGACUGCUUUAGGACCUACCUGGAUAAUUCAGAAUAAUCUCCCCAUCUCAAGACCCUUAACAUAAUCACAUAUGCAAAGAACUUCUCUUUUCUUUAAUCAUAUGAGUUAACAUGUACAAAUUUCAGAGAUGAGAACAUGGAUAUCUUUAGGGUGCCAUUUUUUCAGUCCAUUGGAAAUGGUAGAUGUGGAAGAAGAGGAGCUAAAAUUCAAUCAGACUAGGGGUCUGCAAUCUGUAGCCUGCAAGUCAGUGCCUGUUUUUGUAAAUAAAGUUUUAUUGGAGCACAGCCAUGCCAGUUUUUUUGCAUGUUGUUUAUGGCUGCUUUCCUGCUACCUGGAAGAGUUGAGUGGUUGUAACAGUAACCAUAUGGUCCUCAAAGCUGAAAAUGUUUACUGUCUGGCCCUUUACAGAAAAAGCUUGCCAGUCCCUGGGUUAGAUCAAGAAUGUGGCAAAUCAUACUGGGGAGAUUAUAAGGUUUUAAUUUAAAGUUCAGCAGCAGACAAGUGAGGGUAAGAACUUCAGUGGAUGAAAAACCUACAAAAUACCAGUAGAUUUUACAGUUAGACUUUGGUAGUUUUGGGUAGACAUAUUUCAUUGAAAUGGUGAAAGUGGA